rnacentral:rRNA from 1 species
GACGAACGCUGGCGGCGUGCUUAACACAUGCAAGUCGAACGGAAAGGCCCUGCUUUUGUGGGGUGCUCGAGUGGCGAACGGGUGAGUAACACGUGAGUAACCUGCCCUUGACUUUGGGAUAACUUCAGGAAACUGGGGCUAAUACCGGAUAGGAGAUCCUGCAGCAUGGUGGGGGAUGGAAAGUUUCGGCGGUUUGGGAUGGACUCGAGGCUUAUCAGCUUGUUGGUGUGGUAGGGGCUUACCAAGGCUUUGACGGGUAGCCGGCCUGGGAGGGUGACCGGCCACAAUGCGACUGAGAGACGGACCAGACUGCUACGGGAGGCAGUAGUGGGGAAUAUUGCACAAUGGGCGGAAGCCUGAUGCAGCAACGCCGCGUGCGGGAUGACGGCCUUCGGGUGGUGAACCGCUGUCGCCUGUGAUGAAGCGUGAGUGACGGUAAUGGGUAAAGAAGCACCGGCUAACUACGUG